UAUCUCUGUAGAGUCUGCAUAUCAAUAAGCGGAGGAAAAGAAACUAACUAGGAUUCCCUUAGUAACGGCGAGUGAAGCGGGAAGAGCUCAAAUUUGAAAUCUUCAAGGUUUUACCUUGACGAAUUGUAGUUUAAAGAAGUGUUUUCUGUUGGUGUUUUGGUAAAAGUUCUUUGGAAUAGGACAUCAUAGAGGGUGAGAAUCCCGUAUUUGACCAUUAUUUCCAGCUUUGUGAUACACUUUCAAAGAGUCGGAUUGUUUGGGAAUGCAGUCCAAAAUGGGUGGUAAAUUUCAUCUAAAGCUAAAUACUGGCGAGAGACCGAUAGCGAACAAGUACCGUGAGGGAAAGAUGAAAAGAACUUUGAAAAGAGAGUUAAACAGUACGUGAAAUUGUCAAAAGGGAAGCGUUUGACACCAGUGUUGUUUUUCCGAAGAUCAAUUACGAAUGGCUUGAUUCUGUGUUGUAUUGACCUUAUCAGCUUUCUUCACUUUUUUCGAGUCUUUCUUAAUGCACUUUUCGGUUAACAAGUCAACAUCAAUUUCUUUUGUUGUAAAAGAGUAUUCGGAAGGUGGCUUUCUUUUCGGAGAAAGUGUUUAUAGCCCUAUACUUCUACAAUCGGAGAGAUUGAGGUCUGCAGCGUAGAUCCUUCGGGGUUAGAUACACUUGUGCUAAGUUGUAGCUUUUCAUAGACAACUUGUUGACUAUGUUUAGUCAUGCGGCUUACUCGCUUGUGCUAUUUUACCUACGCUUAGGAUGUUGAUAGUCACAGCGUGUACA
rnacentral:rRNA from 1 species